rnacentral:rRNA from 1 species
GACGAACGCUGGCGGCGUGCUUAACACAUGCAAGUUGAGCGGAAAGGCCACUUCGGUGGUACUCGAGCGGCGAACGGGUGAGUAACACGUGAGUAAUCUGCCCUCCACUCUGGGAUAGCCACCGGAAACGGGGAUUAAUACCGGAUACGACCACUCCACGCAUGUGGUGGUGGUGGAACAUUUUUGGGUGGGGGAUGUGCUCGCGGCCUAUCCGCUUGUUGGUGGGGUCAUGGCCUACCAAGGCUUCGACGGGUAGCCGGCCUGAGAGAGUGACCGGCCACACAGGCACUGGGACACGGCCCAGACUCCUACGGGAGGCAGCAGUGGGGAAUAUUGGACAUUGGGCGGAAGCCUGAUCCAGCAACGCCGCGAGGGAUGACGGCCUUCGGGUUGUAAACCUCUUUCAGCACCGACGAAGCGCAAGUGACGGUAGGUGCAGAAGAAGGACCGGCCAACUACGUGCCAGCCGCCGCCGUAA